AGUCCAUGAUGUGGACAUUUUUGAAUCAAUGUCUUCAAAAUUCUCCCAAGCUUCGUGAAAACUCUCUCCCUCUAACUGCUUAAACAUAGUAAUUUCCUUUCUUAGUUU
rnacentral:snoRNA from 1 species